rnacentral:rRNA from 1 species
AGAGUUUGAUCAUGGCUCAGAUUGAACGCUGGCGGCAGGCUUAACACAUGCAAGUCGAACGGUAAAGUAGCUUGCUACUUACGAGUGGCGGACGGGUGAGUAACGUAUGGGAAUUUACCGAAUGGAGGGGGACAACAGUUGGAAACGGCUGCUAAUACCGCAUAACGUCGAGAGACCAAAGGGUUUCGACUUGCCAUUUGAUGAGCCCAUAUGAGAUUAGCUAGUUGGUGUGGUAAUGGCUCACCAAGGCGACGAUCUCUAGCUGGUUUGAGAGGAUGACCAGCCACACUGGGACUGAGACACGGCCCAGACUCCUACGGGAGGCAGCAGUGGGGAAUAUUGCACAAUGGGGGGAACCCUGAUGCAGCCAUGCCGCGUGUAUGAAGAAGGCCUUAGGGUUGUAAAGUACUUUCGUGGAGGAGGAAGGGUUUACGUAAUCGUGGACAUUGACGUUACUCCAAGAAGAAGCACCGGCUAAUUCCGUGCCAGCAGCCGCGGUAAUACGGGAGGUGCGAGCGUUAAUCGGAAUGACUGGGCGUAAAGGGCAUGUAGGCGGAUGAUUAAGUUAGUGGUGAAAUC